GCGGACUGCUUUACGGCAUGCGUCACUUCCCCUGUCGUUAUAAGGACAGAACUCCAGUGUGGGAUUUUGCAAACAUGGCGGAAGGUGGACAACAGAGAAAGAAGCCAAAAGUUUUGUCUGAGGAGGCAAAAAAAAAAGAAAAAGAGAGGCUACUCGGAUAAAAGCACAGUCCAGGAUCAACAUUGGCCCGGCUUUCACUCGCUGGCGUGAGAUGAAAGAUCAGGAGGGAUUUCCGACCGACGCUGCCUUGGCUCUGUUCCUGCUGGACUACUAUCAAAAGGAGCAAGUAACUUCUACUCCCCACAAGCAACACCUCCAACCACUGCAGCGUAUAGUUUCCAGCAUAACAGAAGAGGUCGGACCAUGAUAGGGGAGAACUGAUAGAGGGUGUCCAAAUCCUGGAAGAAGGCACUGGGGCAGAAGAAGCUGGUGUAUUAGAGGCCAGGUCCCAUGCUGUUUGCUCAUGGGCUCAGGCACAUUGCACAGGACUCACAUGGAACAGUAUGCUGAGUGGUGCAGGACAGAAGGGGAGGGACUUCUGUCACAAACAGUGCAUCACAGCUCAGACGGGCUGGUGCAGCCAGAGACCAGUCUGAAAUCUUGCCUUGGAUUAAAGACAUUGUGAACCAUUUCUGGUACUGUGCCAAGCAGGCAUCCACUGUCGAGCAGUUCAAGAUGAAAUGGCAUGCUGUAAUUCAUCACAUUCGGAACCAGCACACAUGGGCCACUGGAUCUUGUGAGCAUGAGCCACUGGGUGAAGAUAUACAGGAAAAACCAUGGAUAAAACAAGGUUCAGCAGCUCACCAGGCUCUUGUAGCCAUCGUCCUGGAGAAGAGAUGGUUGAAGAAUGUUGUGAAGUUCAUCAACUUCAGGACAACAUCCGAUCUGGAAAGCUUCCAGAAUCACAUACUCAUGUACGCAGGAAAGCGGUUCUCCUAUACUCCAGCAGUGUAUCGGACGCGGACUCUGCUUGCUGCGAUAGACUACAACUGUGACAAUGGCCGCGCCCCGGCACGAAACAAAGAUGGACACAAGAUUUACAGACGAUGCUACAAUAAGAAGUCCAAAUCCUGGAGUGUCUGCACAGUGAAGGAAAAGGAGUACUCCUACAUUCAAGACCUGCAGAGAGGCAUUCUUCGGAAGAGGCUUGAAAGUGGAGGUGGCCUUCCCAAGACACAGACCCUGAGGCCAGAUGACCCCCGGAAUUUUGGGGUUCUGGCUUCAACACAGCCGCCACCAACAGCUGAGCUUGUGAGGACGCACGUGAAAUAUGGUGAAGGUGUUCCCCAAAGUGAACACUGACGAUCCUUCCUUGUCUGCUUUCAUAAAUGCACAUCAAUACAACAUAUCACUCUGACAGGCUGACUACAGACACAUAGUGACAGCUUUACUGGACCCCCACCCACACUGCUGCUACUGUACUUCUUGUAAUUGUUCUCAGUAACUUCUAACAUUGUCACACAGAUUAUUCAUUCAUUCAUUCAUUCAUUCAUUCAUUUUCUGCCGCUGCUCCCUUUCGGGGUCGCGGGUGGCUGGAGCCGAUCCCAGCUGCUGUGGGCGAAGGCGGGGUACACCCU